AGAGUUUGAUCCUGGCUCAGGAUGAACGCUAGCGGCAGGCUUAACACAUGCAAGUCGAGGGGUAUAGUAGCAAUACUAGAGACCGGCAAACGGGUGCGGAACACGUACACAAUUUACCUCGUUCUGGGGCAUAGCCCGGAGAAAUCCGGAUUAACUCCCCAUAAGAUAGUAGAGUGGCAUCACUUAGCUAUUAAAACUCC
rnacentral:rRNA from 1 species